CUGCCUAUUCCCUGCUUCAAGGAGUGCGUUGUGUUGUGGGUAUGGUUAGAGGAAGUGUGCUAUUCAGCAAGCCCUUAGCGUGGGCAAUCUUCUCUGGGGAUCAGGUGAUGGCAUACCUGACAGUAGCUGCUGUUGCAGCUGCUGCCCAGUCUGCUGUGUUUGCAAAGUUGGGACAACCAGAACUACAAUGGAUGAAGAUAUGCAAUAUGUAUGGAAAAUUCUGCAACCAAGUUGGGGAGGGAAUAGGGAGUGCACUGUUGGUUAGUCUUGGCAUGGUGGUAUUGUCUUCUAUCUCAGCUUUCAGCCUCUUCCGCUUGUAUGGGGCCAACAAGGGUAAGGGCAGCACAAGGUGGUAGGUUUUUGUAUCUGUUAAUUCAACCAUCUUGCCCUGUCUACGUUCUACUAAAGGUUUUGGUCCUUUAGGAGGAUGCUGGCUCUUUUAUGCAUAAGAUGAUGAAGAAAAAUAGUGUACUUUAUGACUGCCAUUUUUACAAUAAAUCAAGCUUUUGUC
rnacentral:misc_RNA from 1 species